GUCGCGUUAUACCUAUACUCCUCGUAUAGACGUACAGGUGGGUUGAGCUAUACACAUGGAAUCAUGGAGGUUUUUUACCAUGAGUGACGCCGGUAACGACCGUGUGACAUCCGUGUUGGACAUAUGAAUAUUAUUGAAGAUUUCAGUAGAUAUGAAAUGGAACUAAUUGACAGUAGACUUUUAAACUACAGUGUAAAUGUAGAUUUGGAAUAAUGGAAAGAUGGGAAUACCUUGUUCGGAGCACUAGAACUACAUAGCAGCUGUCGACUUGACAGAUAAACCACAUCAAAAUGCGAACUAGGAGUUCUACGAGGGAGGAGAGCUCAUUGCCAUCAAUAUUCCGUUCUGGUCCGCUCAACUCGGCAAGUACAGACGACUCAGAUUUGUCCUCUGAUUCCAAACCAGAAAAGGACACGGAAUUUCAGCGGGAUGUCGCCAAUAGCGAGUCCGUAUUUAAGUUGCCGACAAUAGACGGUUCGCGGACUACUAGUGUUACAAGUUUCAUGGGCACUUCCAAUUCAAACUCUCACGUGCACCGUCAGUCUCGCGAGAAAUCGCGACGACGAUUGUGCAGAUCACCAAGUUGUCCUUCUAAUAUGGGUUUUUCUGGCCAGAAGAGUGUUGAAUUGGAGUCCCCGACAAACACGGAUAAAACGUUGCUGAAUGUUAGCCCUGGCAACGAGGACAUUGAGUUCAAACUGCCCGACAUUUAUAGGAACUCCAAUAGCCUUUCUCUGCCGACGAGCUCGCAAAGUGAAAAAAUAAAUCCUUGGCAGUCGGCACGUGAACACACGUCACGUAGGUCGUUACGUCGUACCGAGUCGUGCCGUGACGCGUACAAUAUCGGCAGUCCCGUUACGGAAGCCAAGGUCAAGGACCAUCACAGAUCACAGACACACGCGGCACUACUACUGCCGAUCAGGAAUAGUGAAAGGGUUUCUUUGAAGGGAAAGAAAAAGAAAAACACACAAGUCUCCCCGAGAACCUAUCAAGACUUCUCUUCUCACAUUAAAACGGAACUCAGUAAUGGUGCUCAAAAUGGCUGGGACAGUGAGUAUGAAAGUGACUUGUAUGACAGUGCGAGGGGAUCGGGAGGCAAAGCGUUCGACCGUAUCAUGGAGGAGACAGACGGACACGUGGACAUCCCUAGCUCGCGCAACAUGAAGCCUUGGCUGAAGGACAGACAAAAGGAGGGACAGGUGAAGGCGUAGUACCACGACACGCAAGGACGUGGGCAUGGGAUUGUGCAAACGUGUAUUGUCGCCCCUUGUUUCGGCUAUUGUCGCCAGGGGAUUAACGAGGUGAAAGAUAAAGCUGUGAUACUAUUACUAAUCGGGAUUAACCUAAAAACUCUGGAACCUGUUCCAGGGACUUUGGAUUAGUGUUUGUUUUGCAUAAUUAUGUUUGUGCUGAAAGUAGAAAUGUAUUAUGUGAUUAUUAAUUUGGAUUAUUGCUCAGUGUAAGUGUGUGCUUUAUAUAACAUUAUAUUUAUUAUCAGUUUUUUUUAUUUAUUUGACCUCAGAGGUUUACUAUUGAGUUGUAACACGGUGCACACUGUUUUAUUUGUGUUGUCGUCCAUAACCAGAGUAUCAUAAUGCGUGUCAUGCAAUGUGUCUUUUGUUCUCCAACAUAUCCGAGAAAUUUUGUCUUUAACAAUGCUCGAUUUUAAAUGUAGUAGUUAGGGAUGCAACACAUGAUAUGUACUAGAUUAUAAUCCUGCCAUAUAUGUAAACAUGUGUUUGAGUUAACUUAUAAAUAUACACAAAUCUGAGUUACCGUAUGAGUACUUUAUCAGUAACACGAUUGAGUUUCAUCAUCAGUAAUACGACUGAGUUACGUCAUCAGAAACACGACUGAGUUACGUCAUCAGUAACACGACUGAGUUACGUCAUCAGUAACACGACUGAGUUACGUCAUCAGUAACACGACUGAGUUACCUCAUCAGUAACACGACUGAGUUACGUCAUCAGUCACACGACUGAGUUACGUCAUCAGUAACACGACUGAGUUACGUCAUCAGUAACACGACUGAGUUACGUCAUCAGAAACACGACUGAGUUACCUCAUCAGAAACACGACUGAGUUACGUCAUCAGUAACACGACUGAGUUACCUCAUCAGAAACACGACUGAGUUACGUCAUCAGUAACACGACUGAGUUACGUCAUCAGUAACACGACUGAGUUACGUCAUCAGUAACACGACUGAGUUACGUCAUCAGUAACACGACUGAGUUACGUCAUCAGUAACACGACUGAGUUACGUCAUCAGUAACACGACUGAGUUACGUAUCAGUAACACGACUGAGUUACCUCAUCAGUAACACGACUGAGUUACGUCAUCAGUAACACGACUGAGUUACGUCAUCAGUAACACGACUGAGUUACGUCAUCAGUAACACGACUGAGUAACGUCAUCAGAAACACGACUGAGUUACCUCAUCAGUAACACGACUGAGUUACCUCAUCAGUAAUACGACUGAGUUACCUCAUCAGUAACACGACUGAGUUACGUCAUCAGUAACACGACUGAGUUACCUCAUCAGUAACACGACUGAGUUACCUCAUCAGUAAUACGACUGAGUUACCUCGUCAGUAACACGACUGAGUUACGUCAUCAGUAACACGACUGAGUUACGUCAUCAGUAACACGACUGAGUUACCUCAUCAGAAACACGACUGAGUUACCUCAUCAGUAACACGACUGAGUUACGUCAUCAGUAACACGACUGAGUUACGUCAUCAGUAACACGACUGAGUUACGUCAUCAGUAACACGACUGAGUUACGUCAUCAGUAACACGACUGAGUUACGUCAUCAGUAACACGACUGAGUUACGUCAUCAGUAACACGACUGAGUUACCUCAGCGAGGAUGGUUAAUACCAAUAUAUUUAUAUAUAGGUUGACAUAUGUUAACAGGAUAUAUUUUAAACAAUACAAUGGCAUAUAUAUGUCAAGUACAUUUGUUCACUAAUAAUAUGACCGGGGUCAAAUUUAAGAAAGCCAGAGAUUGAUAAAAGUUAUAUAAGACAGACUAUAUACUAUCACAUGCUACAGACCAGGUGAUCGUGACGUCACCACGUCUGUGGCUAUCAUACAUAUAGUUGAUGGUAAAACGUAGAUUUUGAUCUUCUUAUUUCUAUAUAAAUGUGUCGACAUGUACUUUUGACCGCGCCGCGUCAACCCGCCAUUACCUACCAUAGUACAGACUCUCUGCCAAAACUGUGCAUGAUUGUUAACAAGCAAACUGGUGUGACUGAUGAACUUUCUAUUUUUCGAAUUAAUGCUUUUGUUUGGCGAUUAGUUGUUCCGUCAGCCGUUCUAACCCUAAUAUAAUUAUGUCUACCUAUGUCCAGAUACCUGUCCUCGGACAUGUUGCCAAUCUAGAUCGGCUUUUGUUGUGGACAGUUUCGCGUUGUUACAGAGGGUCUAUGAUAUGUACAGAAUUUUGUUUAAUCAAAAUUAUGAAUGAUUUGAUAUGUUUCAGAAAGCUCUUGAUGAAUUAAAUCAAGUAAAUUAACGUUUGGUGAUUUUAUGUAAAACAACAUGAGUUUAGAUUUAAAUAACACAGUUUCACAAGCAAACAAAAUAUGCUUACAAAAGUAUGCAAAACAGACGUAACACAUGCACACAAUUACUGAUAAAGCACAUUCAGACAGCACAUAAGUUAAUAUACAGACGGCGCAACUUUAAGUCGGUUUACACAAGUACAUUUGUAAAAAGACGGUCGUGUAAGUGGUAAACUCGACGAUUCUGAUCCCCGUUAAUUGUGGGUAAGAAUGUGACUGGCCCCUGUGGCGUGAGUAACUCUAUCCCAACGUGACACAAAGGUGCCAUAUUGAAUAAUAUUUACACUAGAUCAAUAUUUAUUUUUAUUUUAAAGAAAUGUCUUUUUGGUGGCCACUUAAAAAUAAUUUAGGCCUCAUGUAAAGUGUUGUAUUGUUAAAAUGUAUGCUGUAUCGAGGACGUAAAAACAGCAGUUGGUUUUUCCUGUAUGUAUACUGGCCAAUUAUAUUAUAGGUGUGCAGUUGGUAACAGUUGGGUGUAGAAUGUGAGCGGACCACUGUUUACUCGAACAACUCGAGUAUAACACAACCGUGGUCUAUAGAAACUACUGUUAGGCCUAUACCCAUGUUACCCUCACAACCGUGGUCUAUAGAAACUACUGUUAGGCCUAUACCCAUGUUACCCUCACGUCAAUAGCAAACCAAUCACUUUCUUAAUAGUGCUAUCAACAGAUAUUUUCAAUUUGUUCAGAAAGAAAUAUUUGAAUUAAACUGUGUUUUAUCCAAAGGUAUCGGUAGCUGCCGUUCUAAACAACUGUCGGAUGUGUUCUGUAAUGGGAUGGUUUGUCCUAUUAUAGUAGUAGGAACAUCUGUACCAGUAGGUGAAAUCCUAACUCACACUGUACCAAAUAGUUUCCAAAUGUAUCGCGAGGUAAAUGGGUUAUAAAAACCCGUAUUGAGAUACCUCAAUUAUGUAUCUUAAUUACGUAGAAGGAGAAUGUUCCCUCACUCAGCUUUUAGUUCCGAGGUAUGCUUUUUAACUUUGAAAUGCUUACAGAUUUUGUGAUUUUUUAAGUAACCAUUCAACUGUUAAAUUGUAAAUAUCUAUUUGGAGUGGUGAUGUGUUUACAACUAAGUGAUGUUAUAUCCCGCAGGGAUCACCGCUCCGUCAUUCUGGCCAUCUCGAUCAUAAUUUAUUUCUGGUUUAAAAUGGCGGACUUAUUUUGUGACAAUUGUUCAAUCUAAUACAAGCAUAUAGAAAGGGGUACCAGGUGUAUUGACGUCAUCAGCAGAGACUUCUUUGCCUUUUGUAAAUGUGUAACUUAACACUACGUUAGAAAAAUCAACAAUGCAAUUCAUGUACUCUACUGCAUGAAUGGAGGAAUUAUUCCAGGUGCGCGAUCAAGAAAUAAGAGAAUUAACAGGAGUGGAUUGGUAUACGAUGUAAAGUCUGUACGUUCGGGUUACCGCGGUCACUUUCCUGUCAUUACCCACACUUUGGGGAAUACACGUGAAUAUCUAAUACUAAUUGUCCGAGUCGGAGAACUGGCAGAUUGCUGCUUCCGUCCUAUUGUUUCCUGUGAGUGCCGCUAUAAAACUCUCCAGAUAAUUAAACUACAGUUGGAUAUAUGUGUCGAUAAGGGUAACUGUAGAAUAAAUAUGAUUCCGUUUACAACAGGUGAUAGGUCAAGUCUCGUAGUGCUUGACCAAUAUGGUCGAAGUAUCUAUAAUUAACGUCUGGCGGUCAAUCAAUGGAAUGGUACUUUGAUCUGGACAUUUCGUUUAACAAAAUAAUACUGUUACUGUUGUAGGUGUAGAACAGUGCUCAUAUCAAUUUAUAUUUUAUGAUCUGGGGAUGAAGAAAACAAGUCACAUUAUGUUUUGGUUUCAGCAAACAUGCAUUACACGAACAGUAAGCGACCCCGAUAGGGAAAACAAAUCUGGGGAAUAUUUAUUAUAACCUUGAUUUUGUCACUUGAUGCUGAUCGUACAUGGAAUAACGUUGAUCUGUCUAUGUUUUACCAUGUACUAAAGGUUGUUUAUAUACCCGUAUUGUUGAUUUUCCAUCAACGUCAAAGUCUAAUGAGAACUCGAGCCCAACAAGUCAGGCUCCGUCCAAGUCUGAUGAGGACUCGGGACCCACAAAUCCGUCCAAGUCUAAUGAGAACUCGAGCCCAACAAGUCAGGCUCCGUCCAAGUCUAAUGAGAACUCGAGCCCAACAAGUCAGGCUCCGUCCAAGUCUAAUGAGAACUCGAGC